UACGGAGGGUGCAAGCGUUAUCCGGAUUUACUGGGUUUAAAGGGUGCGUAGGUGGGUUGGUAAGUCAGUGGUGAAAUCUUCGAGCUUAACUCGGAAACUGCCAUUGAUACUAUCAAUCUUGAAUAUCCUGGAGGUAAGCGGAAUAUGUCAUGUAGCGGUGAAAUGCUUAGAUAUGACAUAGAACACCCAUUGCGAAAGGCAGCUUACUACGGGAUCAUUGACACUGAGGCACGAAAAGCGUGGGGGAUCAAAACAG
rnacentral:rRNA from 1 species